CUUUGCAGGCUUCAGAAAUGAGGUCAGCUCCCCUGAAAUGAAUUAGUAGUAUCUGAGCAGAGAAACUACCACAGGUGUGAUUAAUUUAUCUAUCUAUGCCUUGGUGUGCUGCAUGAACAGGUCACACUGCUUAUAACAAGUGGAACACCACAUUUGAUGAAUUUGACCUCAAAUCAGGUAGGACUACCCGCUGAACUUAA
rnacentral:misc_RNA from 1 species